rnacentral:lncRNA from 1 species
GUCAAACUGUGUAGUUCUGGCUGAAAAUCACAUAAAUGGAAUAUCAUGAUCUGUUUCUUGUGAGGCCUCAGAGCACAUGUCCUCAAAGAGGUGGAAGCAUGACAGAGAAGUUUCCUGAUCUUUCUGUAUAAAACAGCCUGAAUGUAAGCCACUGAAAAUUUCCUCCAAAAAUCAUGGGUACUACUGCGGCUCAGAUACAUCUCAUUUGAAACUAUUGCAGCAACCGAGAAGAAUCUUUAUCCCUCUGGAAAACAGAAGAAAUACAUGUAUCAGAGUGAAAUGUUGCUGAAAUUAACUAAGUGUUUUUAGCACA